rnacentral:misc_RNA from 1 species
GUGAAACAAAUGUGGCGCAUCCGUUUAGUGGCGCAGUCAUGCAAUAAUUUAUUUGUUUUAAUUGAUAAUUUGAUAAUAUCUCGAGUGUCAAGUGUGCAAAAGCGUGUGAUUGUGGACUAUUUCAUUCAUAUCGAGGACAAGCUAAGCGUUUAGUUCUGGAUAUCAUUUUCAGCCGCAUAAUCAGGGGUGAGGUCGGAGCCGGCAGUCCGCCCGGCGGCUAUGUGGCGGUGACCGGGACGGCUGGGACCCGAGUGCGGCUGCGCCAUGCCGCCGCCGCCGCCGCCGCCGCCGCCGGUCCGCCGGUGGCAGCAGUUUCCCGGACGGAACCGGUUCUUUUGCGACGGACGCAUCAUGAUGGCACGCAAGAUGGGCAUCUUCUAUUUCACCGUCACAUUGAUUGUCGGCACCACGACACUCUUCUUUGUGUUCGACUGUCAGUUCCUGGCGGAGCGGAUCACGCCCGUGAUCCCGGUGGUGGGCGGUGUGCUGUUCGUCUUCGUCAUGUCGGCACUGCUGCGGACCAGCUUCAGCGAUCCGGGCGUCAUCCCGCGCGCCACCGCCGACGAGGCGGCCGACAUCGAGCGGCAAAUCGUGCCGAGUAACGCGAGCAACUCGCCGACGUACCGGCCGCCGCCGCGCACCAAGGAGGUCAUGGUGCGUGGCCAGCCGGUCAAGCUCAAGUACUGUUUUACGUGUAAAAUAUUCCGGCCGCCGCGCGCGUCACACUGUAGUAUCUGUGACAACUGCGUCGAUCGGUUCGACCACCAUUGCCCGUGGGUGGGCAACUGUGUCGGCAAGAGAAACUACCGAUACUUUUACAUGUUCAUCGUCUCGCUAGCUUUUCUCUGCGUAUUCAUACUUGCUUGUGUGGUGACUCAUCUUAUCCUGUUGACCAAAGACGAUCGCCAAUUCCUGGAUGCUGUGAAAGAGUCACCGGCGAGUGUGAUCGAGGCCGUGAUAUGUUUCUUCUCGAUCUGGUCGAUUCUGGGCCUGUCUGGCUUUCACACGUACCUGGUCUCCUCGAACCAGACAACCAACGAAGACAUCAAAGGGUCAUUCACGGGGAAGCGAAGUGAAGAGGCCUUCAAUCCGUACGGACAGGGCAAUGUUAUCUCAAACUGCCUUGAUGUCCUUUGCGGACCAACUUACCCUAGUUUAAUAGACCGGCGCGGUCUGGUGCCGGUGGCCACUCCGGAGGCGGACCCGGCCCCGGAGCAGCGCAGGCCCGGCGCGGCGACGGCAGCGGCCGACCCCCGCUCGGGCCGUUCCUAUGGCGCCGUGCACAGCGCCCAGACCAAACCGACCGUGCCGACCAGCCAGGUGGUGCCUCUUCCCGCCAUACCGAGCGUGCCCGCGCCCAGCGGCGACUUCUAGCGACGGGCGCCGGCGGCCGGCGCGUCUCAGAACGGGCACACGUCAGUCAGCGGCCGGUCGGCGGCCGCCUCGGGUCAGCCGGGCCACCGUCGGGCCGCCGCCGCUGCCGUCGCCAUCGAGCGGCCACAACGCGGCGGCGGCGGCGCGGCGAUGGACACGGCCGACCUGGACCUGGACAGUCUGGACGGCUCCGAGACGCUGAGCCACGAGAGCCGCGGCCAGACCACCGACAGUGAGGCGCGCUCCAACGUGGCGCUCAUCCGACUGGCCCACAGCGCCGUCUGACCGACCGACCGGCGCCCGGCGGGGGACGGACGGUUUUCUAAUGUGUUGUGAUGUGACGAAAGAGACAUGCCGGUGAAUCGUCCCGUAACCAAUCGACGUGCUGAUAUUGCUGAACGACGCCGGCGAUAUAUACUAUUUUAUAAUCGACAAUUAAUACAUGGUAAUGUGCCGCAGUGUGAAA